CCAAAACUAGGCCUGCAAUUUAGAGGAAGCGCUUCAUUUGGAGCCUCAGCAAAUGCAAGUUGUGUGUGACCCAAAGAAUGGUCUUUGUAUUCCACCUCAAACACUGAAGCCCAAUAAUAAUCAUAACGACACCGAAAUUUACUUCUUUCAAAAGGAUAAAAGACAUGUUUGGCUUUAUAAUUCAAAAAUCCAAGUUCGCAGACCUUCGAUGAUUUGAGAUCCACACUGCUGGAGACUAUCCUGCACUGAGUGGGAACAGAGAUGGGAGUGGCAAUGGAGAAGUGGGCGGCCAAAACUGCUAUGAAUCCUAUAAAUAAGGAUAAGGAAAAGAAAGCAAAGAUUGGGAAAAUAAUCGCUAAAAUCAAUCGUAACACGACAUAAUCAAAACCCUUCUUCCUAUCGUCUAGGGUUUCUUCUUUCUCCAUCUCCAUCUCCAUCUCCACUUCUCUUUCUUCCUCAGAGUCCAUUAUUAACUAAGGAUCAAAACUCAAAACAAUUCCCACUUCCAACUUUU
rnacentral:misc_RNA from 1 species